rnacentral:tRNA from 1 species
GCGCGAGUGGCGGAACAGGCAGACGCACAGGACUUAAAAUCCUGCGGUAGCGAUACCGUACCGGUUCGAUUCCGGUUUCGCGCACCA